GCUGCUGCCCAAGGAGGGUCCGGAGCGGCUUCUCCUGCCCCGGCGAUGCAUGUGGAUGAGGUUGAGGAUGACACUGAAGUUGCAGGCGAGCACCGCGAUGAUGAGCAGUAGCAGCAAGGUGGCGUAAAGCCGCAGCACGUGGAACAGCGAGAUGGAGUUCCCGCGGCCGGCGCUGCGCCCCGAGUCCCCCAGCCAGCGGCGCACCAGCAGCGCCAGCGCGAUGAGGUUCCCCAGCACCCCGGCCGAGAACAUCACGGAGCUGAUGGCUGGGCUUUCGCCGGAGGGGAGCCACUGUCGAGUAUCGCAGUUCUCUGGCCAGGAGUCAUUGGAGCAUUUUCAGGAAAACACACCAAGAAGGCGGGUCCAGAGUUAGGAGGAAGUGAAAAGCAAGCCUGUGCAUUCAAGGAACCAAAACACGCUCACACCAAGCUGCCUGUUGCACUGUCGUUUUGAUUCGGUUCCCAG